AUUGAACGCUGGCGGCAGGCUUAACACAUGCAAGUCGAGCGGGGGAGGUUGCUUCGGUAACUGACCUAGCGGCGGACGGGUGAGUAAUGCUUAGGAAUCUGCCUAUUAGUGGGGGACAACAUUCCGAAAGGGAUGCUAAUACCGCAUACGCCCUACGGGGGAAAGCAGGGGAUCUUCGGACCUUGCGCUAAUAGAUGAGCCUAAGUCGGAUUAGCUAGUUGGUGGGGUAAAGGCCUACCAAGGCGACGAUCUGUAGCGGGUCUGAGAGGAUGAUCGGCCACACUGGGACUGAGACACAGCCCAGACUCCUACGGGAGGCAGCAGUGGGGAAUAUUGGACAAUGGGCGGAAGCCUGAUCCAGCCAUGCCGCGUGUGUGAAGAAGGCCUUUUGGUUGUAAAGCACUUUAAGCGAGGAGGAGGCUCUUAAGGUUAAUACCCUUGAUGAGUGGACGUUACUCGCAGAAUAAGCACCGGCUAACUCUGUGCCAGCCGCCGCGGUAACAC
rnacentral:rRNA from 1 species